GUGGGAGGGGGCUUGCUCCCGAUUGCGGUAUGUCAGUGAAGAUUUUUUCAUCUGGUACAGCGCAAUCGGGAGCAAGCCCCCUCCCAC
rnacentral:misc_RNA from 1 species